AAAUUGAAGAGUUUGAUCAUGGCUCAGAUUGAACGCUGGCGGCAGGCCUAACACAUGCAAGUCGAACGGUAACAGGAAACAGCUUGCUGUUUCGCUGACGAGUGGCGGACGGGUGAGUAAUGUCUGGGAAACUGCCUGAUGGAGGGGGAUAACUACUGGAAACGGUAGCUAAUACCGCAUAACGUCGCAAGACCAAAGAGGGGGACCUUCGGGCCUCUUGCCAUCGGAUGUGCCCAGAUGGGAUUAGCUUGUUGGUGGGGUAACGGCUCACCAAGGCGACGAUCCCUAGCUGGUCUGAGAGGAUG
rnacentral:rRNA from 1 species